GCUUCCUCUUGGCUCGCUCCAGGUCCAUGCGUACCUUCUUCUCCUGCUCCAGGGAUCCCUCCAGCUGGUGGAGAGAAGACAACAAACAGCCUCACCUGCGCUCCAGGAUCUUCUUGAAUUCAAUGCGCAUGAGCAGACCCCGGGCUUGUGCCUGGAUGCGGGUGAGGAUGCGGCUCAGCCUCUCGUCUCGCAUCUCCUCCAGCAGCCCCAGCAGCCCUGCCUUGAAGAACACCUGGGGGAAGAGGGAUGGCCGCUGGGUUCAGGAUGCGAUACCUGGAGAGGAAGGUGCCCGGAGUCACACACGUUCUGCACUGAUCUGCUCUGCCCACCGAGGUCACCUGAAGACUCCCCUCCUACCAUGGCCGCCCAGGUUCCCACUGUUCCCUGAGACCUGGGACUCCCCGGUACCUACCGCUGCCGGAAAUCCCCGUAGAGGAUGCGGUUGGGGAAGCCCUUCCUGCAGAUGCGGAUGCCCUCCAGCACGCCGUUGCAGCGCAGCUGCCAGCCCAGGAUGUUGUAGUCCACGGUGCCGGCAUAGUGGAUCAGGGAGAAGUGGGCUUCCGGCUUGCCCUUGAUGUUACGCGGCUUCUGGAAGUUGGCGGACUUGCCCAGGUGGUUGUCGAACAGCUUGGCCUUGAAGGUCAUGUCGGUGGCCUUGGGGAACAUGCACUCCUCCUCCAGGAUGGACAUGAUGCCCAUGGGCUGAGGGUGGAGGGGAGAGCAGCACUGAGUGUACUCCCAGGUGUGCAGAGUCCCACACCCCGACAGGAGAGACCGCAGCCCAGUGUAGCUGGCAGGCCACAGAGCCCGCACUGGUUCCUGACACAGGAAGCCAAUAUUCCUGGAAUUAACCUAAAUCCAAAUACAUUCAGAUCUGGCCCCAGUGGACCCAGAGAAGAGCCUUGUACUCCCAGUCCCCUCUAGGGUUCCUCAGGGCUCCCAGAACAGCCCCUUUUUCCUGUAUGGCUCCCUGCCCCAGAGCAGAGUGAGGGAAGGGACAGAUGUGUGGCAGAGGCACCAGGCUGCAGGGCAGGCCAGACCCGUGUCUAUAAGGGUAAUAAUCCUUCAAGGGGUGGUUAGAAGGGUGUAGGUUCUGCACAAUGUCCUGAAAGUGUGGCGGUUCAUGACUUUUCUUGGGGCAGGAAUCCUAUGAGAAUUUGAUGAAUCCAAAGACUCUGUCCUCAGAAAAGUGCAUGUAGACAUACACACAUGCACACAUGUUUUUCCACACAAUUUCAGGGGAAACCUGAGGCCUCUGGAAGAGCAGAAUCCUGGAUAACCACUCAAAGCUUGUGGGGAAGCUCCUGUUUUCUGAAUGGCUGGGGCUGGGCUGGGGGAGGGUCAGUUACCGCAGGCUCUGGCCUCCAUCAGCAAAGUGCAAAGACACACUGAGAGCAAGUCAGCACUAGGGGCCUCCCGCCAGCUCUGUCCUGUCUCCUCUGAGGAACCUCCAUAGACAAGAGGGGCUGAAGACGGAUUUAUCCUCAGCCACCAGGGAGAGAACAGCAAGCCAAAGUGUCUAGUUUCAGCCUAGGGUCUUUCCACUAAUGACACUUCUCCUGGGGUGUUAGAGGGCCCAGGAGUCCUCUCCUUUACUCCAUCCCUUCUUAAGACCCCGGGAGGUGACUACCACCCGGACAAAGUCCUAGGUGCUAGGGAGAGAAGGGAAGGAAGGGCUGGAUCUGUCUGCCCAUCACAGUGGGUAGAAGCGGGGCCUGGAGGGAGGCUUGGGAUUCUGGGACUAGUCUCCUGGGUGUGGAGGGACAUGGCUGCCACUUUGUCUGGGAUGGCAGGGAAGGGGAACCAGGCAGAGGGGCCGAGGCAGCACCUUCUCGAUGAGGUCGAUGCAGGCCUGCAAGUCCAUGCCGAAGUCGAUGAACUCCCACUCGAUGCCCUCCUUCUUGUACUCCUCCUGCUCUAGCACGAACAUGUGGUGGUUGAAGAACUGCUGCAGCUUCUCAUUGGUGAAGUUGAUGCAGAGCUGCUCAAAGCUGUUGAACUGCGGGGCAGGGAGGGCGGGAGCGGGUCAGGUGGGCAGGUGUCUGUGUGGCCCACGGGGUCAGCCCGGGGCUGUGUCCAGCCCGGCAAGGAGUGUGGCUGGUCCCUCCCUUGUCAGGGCGGGGAGGGAGAGCCCCCUGAAGACACAUGACUGUCUCCAUCACUGCUCAGCCCAUCGCCUUUCCCGCCUGGUCUGUAGCCAGCUCAGCCAGGGAUGGCUGUUUGUGCCACCAAGUGAUUUACUGUUCUCCCGCCCCUGGGGCUCCCCUGCUCACGUCAAAGAUCUCGAAGCCAGCGAUGUCCAGGACCCCUAUGAAGUACUGGCGCGGCUGCUUGGUCUCCAGGGUGGCGUUGAUCCGCGUCACCAUCCAGUUGAACAUCUUCUCAUACACUGCCUUGGCCAGCGCCCCGAUAGAGUAAUACACCUGCUGGACGUUCUGCCCCUUGGUGACGUACUCAUUGCCCACUUUCACUCGAGGAUGGCACAGCCCCUUAAGCAGAUCUGCUGAAUUCAGCCCCAUGAGGUAGGCAGACUUGUCGGCAUCUGGCGGAGAAGGAAAGAGUCCCAGGAUGUGCCCCAAGACUGGGAAUGCUCUACUCUGAAGCCAUGUGUUGACCAACCUGACUGGGAAAUCAAGGUUCCUAACGAACAUGGCGCGGAGUCUGCAAGAGGCUCACCUAAGGGCUUGGAAUCCCUCACAUACACAUGGCAUUAGUGAUGGGGAUAUGCAGAACUCAGGUCUGUGCUUUCCUGGGUUUGGGGGAAUCUUGGGCACAGGAGGAAAAUUUCCUAAUUCACUUCUGCUCCAUGCAGCUGGGGUUGAGAAGCUGGCAGGAAGAUGGGGCACCUCCCUGUCUGCCUAGUUCUCCCAUGUCCCUGCCCCUCCUCAGCCCUCACUGACUCAUCUACCCCAUAAGCCUCAGGUCCUUUGGGAGCCAGCCUGUCUGGGACGGAGGGUGGUCUCAGGCAAGGGUCUAAGGGAGGAUUAGGCCUGGAGUCAGAGCCAGAUGGUGUCGGGGCGGUGGGGCUGGGGAACCACCCCCCGGGGGGGAGUGGCCAGCGCCCCCCGGGAGAAGGCACCGCCUUGCGACCACCUGCUUCUCCACUUCCGGUUUCCUCCCACUUUGUCUGUCGUGUUCCUAACAUGGGUGCCGUGAACAUAGCUCCUUAAGAAUCGUUGCGAGGCACCCUUUUUGGACGCAGCGUGGGAGACCCUGCCCCCCGAGGACUGUUUCUGCGUGAAGGGCAGACACCCAGCACCUCGGGCCUUGCCGGCGCGCGCCCUCCUGCUCUCCCACCUUCGGUGCCGUCAGGCUCCGCCUGCUCCUCCCGCUGCUUCUGCUUGAACUUCAUGUUUCCGUAGUGCAUGAUGGCGCCCGUCAGCUUGUACAUGCCGGCUUUCUCCUCAGAAGUGAAGCCCAGCACGUCGAAGGCGUUCUGGGGCAGGAAGCCAACUUUCCUGUGGCUCCAAAGUGGAUCCUGAUGAAUUUCCCCUGGGGGCGAAUGAGACAAAGAGUGAGGGAGCUGGCCAGAAGAGACAGAUGGAGAUCCUGGACCUUAGUGCAACCCAGAAUGCCCUGGAUGGUUCUGGAAAUGUAAACAACCUCUUUGAGGUCCCAGUUUAGUAUAAGUAAAACAGCAGAGAGGAUUCCCAUCCCCCAAAACCACACUGGGAUCUCCGAGCAGAAACAACGGCACAGGAAUGAACACAGGAUCUUGGCCUUGACGAACUCCUCCUUGUCAUCGGGCACGAAGCACUCGGUGCGGAUGUCAAAGGGCCGGGUCUGGGCCUCUAGACGCUCCUUCUCCGACUUGCGGAGAGAAUCCUGGAGCCGAUAGACCGUGGAUGGAGCCACAGAGGUAGAGCCAGGCAGAGAGAACAGGUGGCCUGCCUUAAAUUGGCCAAAGAACCCCUAUCUUCCAGCAAGUCUGGAUGAGGAGGGUCUUGGGAACGGAAGCUACCGUGGGAAGAAAUGAGGGAGAAGGAGUGCCCUGGACCAAGGGUCAGGCCUCAGGAGGAGAUGAGGAGGAGAGAAGGGGCUGCUCUCCAGGCUCCAGGACUGGGAGCUUUGUUGCACCCUUAGGAUGGGACAGAUCAAGACGACGUGGCAAAU